GGGGGAAAAAUUAAUUAUUUAAAUAUAAUAAAAGAAAUUUUUAAGUAAUUAUAAUUUAAUGGGGGUUAAAGUAUAAUUAUAGAAAAAAUUUAAAAUUUUAUAGUAAAGUAGUAUUGUGAAAGAAUAAUGAAAUAAUAUGAAAAAAAAUUAUUUUUAAAGUAAAUUUAAUUUGUUGUAUCUUGUGUAUCAGAGUUUAUUAAUUUAAUUAUAUUUAGUUAAAUAAUUCUCGAAUUUAAAAGAGAUAAUUAAUUAAAAAAUUUAUUGUAGCAUAAGUAUUUUAAAUAAUUAAUUGGAAAUGAAAUGUUAUUCGUUUUUAAAAAUAUCUAGUUUUUUUAGAAAUAAAUUUAAUUUAGAAUUUUUUUUUAUUAAAAAUCAUAAAUUUUAUAAUAAAAAAAAAUUUAAUAUUUUAAGGGAUAAUCUUUAAAUUAAAUUUUUAUAAUAAUAAUUUUUAAAAUUUAAAAUUUUUAAAAUUUAUAUUGUUUAUAAAAUAAAUUUUUUUAUAAAAAAUUUUAAUUUAAAAAAAAAUUUUUAAUUAAAAUUUAAAUUUUUAUAAAAAAAUAAUUGACAAUAAUAAAAAAUUAGGUAUAAUGAUAAAAUUAGUAUAAAUUAUGUAUAUAUAUAUAUAUAUAUAUAAAUUUAAUAAAAUAAAAAUUAAUAAAAAGGAAUUCGGCAAAAAUUUAUGUUCACUUGUUUAUCAAAAACAUGUCUAUUUGGUUAUAAUUUAAAGUCAAAUCUGCCCACUGAUAAAAAAAUUAAAGGGCUGCAGUAUAUUGACUGUACAAAGGUAGCAUAAUCAAUAGUCUUUUAAUUGAAGACUUGUAUGAAAGAUUUAAUGAAAUAUAAUCUGUCUCUUUAUUAAAAUUAAAAUUUAAUUUUUUAGUAAAAAAGCUAAAAUAGAUUUAAAAGACGAGAAGACCCUAUAGAGUUUUAUAUUUAAUUUAAUAGUAUAUUUUUGUAAAUAUUUAAUAUAAAAUUAGAUUAAAUAUUUUAUUGGGGUGAUAAAAAAAUUUAAUUAACUUUUUUUAUAAAAAAACAUUAAUAAAUGAGAAAAUGAUCCAUAAUUUAUGAUUAUAAGAAAAAAUUACCUUAGGGAUAACAGCGUAAUUUUUUUUUUUAGUUCAAAUAAGAAGAAAAGUUUGCGACCUCGAUGUUGGAUUAAGAUAAAAUUUAAAUGUAGAAGUUUAAAAGUUUUGAUCUGUUCGAUCAUUAAAAUCUUACAUGAUCUGAGUUCAAACCGGUGUGAGCCAGGUUGGUUUCUAUCUUUAGAUAAUUAAAAUAUUUUAGUACGAAAGGAUUAAAUAUUUAAAAUAAAUUUUUUUAUAUUGUAUGAAUUUUAAUAAUAAAUAAAUAAUGUAUAAAUUAAUAAAUUUAUAUG
rnacentral:rRNA from 1 species